UACGGGGGGGCAAGCGUUGUUCGGAAUUACUGGGCGUAAAGGGCUCGUAGGCGGCCAACUAAGUCAUACGUGAAAUCCCCCGGCUUAACCGGGGAACUGCGUCUGAUACUGGAUGGCUUGAGUUCGGGAGAGGGAUGCGGAAUUCCAGGUGUAGCGGUGAAAUGCGUAGAUAUCUGGAGGAACACCGGUGGCGAAGGCGGCAUCCUGGACCGAUACUGACGCUGAGGAGCGAAAGCCAGGGGAGCAAACAGGG
rnacentral:rRNA from 1 species